GCCUGGGACCAGACCAAGAGGAUAUACAGCACAGUGCUUUUGACCAUCUUGACCAGAACCACAAAGAAUUGGAAAUUUCUCAGGAAUGGAUGUUCUCUACUGAUUUCCAAACCUUAGGUAUGUCCUUUUAGGUAAGUGUUAGGAAAAAUACGAUGCCUCUAACAGAAGUUUCCAAGCCACAAAAACUAUGUAGAACUGAGACAAUGUUUGACCUUGUGCCCACCUAAUUUGUGAAAUAGUAUUGUUGCCUACUUUUUUAUUAUGCAGCUUUAAAGAAGAACAUAUCUCCUUUGCCCUCAUAUGUCUAAGGAACUUUAGUAUACGAGUUCUCUAGAAUAGAAUGAGAGGCAAAACAUCAAAAGUUUAACUAGUUCUUGAACUAUUAGUAAUCGUACCAAGUAAGUGACAACGCUGGCCAGUUGCAGUAUUCAACAUCUAUUUGCCUUUUCCUAAUAUACUUGAGCAUUAUUGUUCUGAAACAAGACAUUGAGUCUACAGUUAAUUUUAGGUGACUAUAAGUUGAUUCCUCAGACAUUUAUUGCGUGCCUGCUCUACCUAAGAUCCAUGCUAAGCAUCAGUGUGAAUGAAUUAUGAAUUACUCACAACCUCUGUUUCCAAAAGCUUGUAAUCUAGUGGAGGAAACAAAUUUCUAAGUAAAUUAACUCAGUAUUAUAUAAUACAGGCUAACUGAGAAGCACCAGGAGUUAUGGGAGAGAUACUUAGUUGACUUAGUCCCGAUAAGAAUGCUCCAGGAAGGAAGAGCUACCAUAGUUAUAAGUUACACUAAGAAUAAGCUUUAUUCAGGACAUAUUAGCCUGAGCAAACCCUUAAAGAUUGAGAUUGCGUAAUAUAUACAUUCUAUAGUAUACAGCAAAAUAUGGGGAGAGAAGGAUGAGGCUGAGGAGGGAGGUCAGGGUUAGGUCACAAAGGGAUUAUUCUCUACCUCACUAAGAAACUCCUCACUAAAAAAGAGAGGAAGAGGAGAAAGUUUUAGGAUGUGUGGAUGAAAAGAAAAAAGAAAUCGUCAUAGUUCCACAGGCAUAGCAACCAAUAUUCAUAUUGUGAAAUAUUUCCUUUCUGUCUUUAUUUUUCAUACAUUUUUUACAUAAGUUAAUACUACAUUUAAAAUGAUUUAUAUUUCUUUUUGUUUGAUAAAAGCAUCAUUUCUUGCAAAAAGCAUUACUUCAUAAUAUUAAAAAUUAUUUUUAAACAAACUUUCAAUAACUGCAUAAGCACAGUUACUGAAUAAUAACUGCAUAGGAUGGAUUUAACAUAGUUUUCUUAGUAUUGCAUGCCUAUGUAAUAAAACACUCUUCUGGAAAUUGAUGAGAACUUCUUGCAAAGGCAGUGUCUAUAAACUACAUAUGACAACUGAAUAAAUGCUACCUAAAGAUUUGGUUAGAUUGAAGUACUUAUAAAAUGUUCUACAAGGAAUGAGAUCAGUAUUUCUUAGAAAUGAGUAGUCGGGGCACCAGGGUGGCUUGGUGGGUUAAGCAUCCUGCUCUUGAUUUUGGUGCAUGUCAUGAUCUCACAAUCUGUGAGAUCGAGCCCCCAGUCCAGCUCAGUGUGGAGCUCGGAGCCUGCUUGGGAUUCUCUCUCUGCUCCUCCCCCACUCAUUCUCCCUCUCUCUCUCUCUCUCUUUUUCUCCCUCUCUCUUAAAAUAUAUAAAUUAAAAAAACAACAACAACAAAAAAGAGAAACAAGUAGUUCACAGGAGUCAGUCAACUACAUCUUUUUUUUAAAUAAUUUUUUUUUGUUUGUUUUUUUAGAGAGAGAGAAAGAGUGCAAGUGGGGGAGAGGAGCAGUGAGAAACAGAGAAUCUUAAGCAGGCUCCCCACUUUGCACAGAGCCCCACCCUGAGAUCAUGACCUGAGGCAAAAUCAAGAGUCAGACACUGAACUGACUGAACAACCCAGGAACGCCUCAAUCAACUACAUAUUUGGAUAAAAAUAUAAAAAGUCUUCCUCUUGUUUUAUUUAUUUUUUAAAAAUUUUUAAUGUUUAUUUAUUUUUGAGACAGAGAAACAGCAUGAAUGGAGGAGGGUCAGAGAGAGAGGGAGACACAGAAUCUGAAGCAGGCUCCAGGCUCUGAGCNNNNNNNNNNNNNNNNNNNNNNNNNNNNNGGCGCGUGGACGUGGGGCUCGAACUCAUGGACCGUGAGAUCAUGACCUGAGCCGAAGUUUGACGCUUAACCGACUGAGCCACCCAGGCGCCCCCCUCUUGUUUUAUUUAAAAGAUCUAAUUUUGGGGGCACCUGAGUGGCUCAGUCAGUUAAGUAUACAACUCUUGAUUACAGCUCUUGAUAACGGUUGUGAGUUCAAGCUGCAUGCUGGGUGUGGUACCUGCUUAAGAUUCUCUCUCUCCCUCUGCCCCUCCUCUGCUCACACUCUGUCUUUCUCUCUCUCUCUCUCUUAAAAAAGAAAAUAAAGGGGUGGGGGCUCCUGGGUGGCUCAGUCUGUUAAGUGUCCAACGUCAGCUCAGGUCAUGAUCUCACAGUCCAUGGGUUCAAGCCCUGCAUCAGGCUCUGUGCUGACAGCUCAGAGACUGGAGCCUGCUUCGGAUUCUGUGUCUCCCUCUCUCUCUCUGCCCCUCCUCUGCUCACACUCUGUCUCUCUCUGUCUCAAAAAUAAACAUUAAAAAAAAAUCUAACUUCGUCAUUUGUACUAACAUAGUAACAACAUUAUAUUAUUUUCUAGUUAGAAUAUGGACUUGGAAUUAAAAGAGAUAUAUAUUCACGAACAAAAAUGGUGAGAUUUGGCAUUAACCUUUUCCUUUUUUCUCUAAUGAUACGGUUCAGAGGAAUAAAAUCUGCAGAUAAAAACAACAAUAACAACAACGACAAUGACAACUUAAUUUCACUGGAGCUCAACUUGGGCAAAUCCACACUGUCAAUCACAUGGAUGAAAUGUAGGCCAGGCUGCCUAGUGUUUUUCAAAAUAGACAACAAAUGAAAUACAAGAAGCGAAUAUGACCAAGUAUUUAUAAUUCUCACUUCUCGGUUGGCAUAGUCAAGAAUUAUUAAAUAUGCAGACAAUAUUUCCAUUAUUUUGGGGUUUCUUCUCUUUUUUUUCCAUCUUCUCAACAGGGAAUUUCAGUGUACAUUUUUGCCCUUGGCUUCAUCUCUUGGUAGCUCAUGAAAAAUGAUACGUAGGUGGUUUACACUCAAUGCCAGAAUCAACGCUCUUUCUGUUCUGAAAAGCUGAGAAUUUGAAAGCAUUUUUCCUUCUCAUAAGGAUUUACUCAAGUAUUUAUAUAUCCUGUAAUAGUUGGCGUCAGUAAUCUUAUUCCUUCACAUUUUUGGAUACUUUUAUUUAGACUAACAUGCUUCACAACCAAAGAAGCAAACUACCAAUGAAUAGAACUUACUUUCAAUUAUUUUUCUUCACAUCACUGUGGAAGUUGCAUUUUAACAUAUUUAUUUCAUGCAUAUGUCCUAUUUUCUAUUUUCUGCAAGUGGAAAUUCCAGUAGUUCAAGAGGAAUACGAUGAUAUAUUUAGAACUGCUUAAUAUUUCACCGACUGAUGAAAUAAUUGACCCAGUGCAAACAAAGAACAUUCUUUUUAUACAAAAUAUUGGUUCACCCUAUUUUUGGACUUAGUAAUGUAGACCUUUAAGAUUUGGGGGAGGGGAGUUGAAUCAGCUGUUACAAGCAAACACUUUGGGUAUGUGUUAUGCAAAAAGGACAGAAAAAAAAUUCUAGCUGCUCAAAGGUAUAGGAGUAGAGCUAUGCCAUAAACCUGGUGUUUCUACAGAUGUCACUCAAUUUUAAGCAUUAUAUAAUUAACAGAUUUUUCUGAAAAAUAAAAGAAGCUAAGAUUUUCAAUAAUUCCUUUGUUGGUAAGCAAUAUUUUCUGAGCACAAAAUUAGUACACAUGCCAUAACAAAAAUUAAAGUGUAUUUAUGGGGGAACAGGAGAAAGUAUUUGAAAUGAUACCCUCGUAGGUAACUUGAAUAUAAACACUCUGCAGGAUCAGGGCAUAUCCUUGAAAAGUGGCAAACCACUUGCAUUCUUAGCUAAAAAAUGGCAAAAGCUGCUAGAAAUGAGCAGUAAGCUUUAAAAUCUGUGAAUCAAGCGUCUGAAGAAGACCCAACACAGAAUUCUACAACAUAGCACUUAAAUUUUGCACAAAUUGUACCGUUUUUCAUUAGAUUAUGUAUUGCCGACGUUGAUAGUCCUCAAAAUCUGGGAACAUACAUUAGCCAUCUACACUGAUCUACCCCAUGUGUGUAUGGCUCAUAGAAGGAAAUUCUAGGAGCCAUGGAUAUGUCUAAAGUCAGAAAAUGGGGAAAGUUUUGGGAAGGUACCUUUUGGUUGAGCCCUUGGCAUAAGGUAGUUCUCUGAUGAUUUCUGGUUACCUGGUGAUAGUAACAUAUCAGGUAUAAACAUUAAAUGUUCAUUAUUGUUUAAGCCUCCUUUGUGUUAAUAUGAUGAUGUUGAAGGCCACAGUGCUUGCAACAUUGUACGCAUGUUUACAAGAGCCAUCGUUAGACUAUGGCCUGGGCUCAGUGCCAAUGGAUCCUCCCCAUUCUGGCAAAAAAAAAAAAAAAACAAAAAACAAAAAACAAAAAAACCCACAUUGAACCCCGUGUAAGGAAAAUUUCAAUUUCUUGCUUGACUAAGUUAGAUUCUGAUUCAUAAUCUGAGUGUUCUGGUCUUUUAAGGAAUAAAGCCUACAUCCCUCUUUCAGUCAAUAUUAUAUGAACAUCAUCAUGAAGAUGUAUUUAUUAAAGGGAAAAGUUAUUUUUUAAAAAAUUUUGUGAUGUUUAUUUGAGAAAGAGAGAGAGAGACAGAGCGUGAGCAGAGGAGGGGCAGAGAGAGAGGGAGACACAGAAUCGGAAACAGGCUCCAGGCUCUGAGCUAUCGGCACAGAGCCCGAUGUGGGACUUGAGCUCAUGAGCCCUGAGAUCAUGACCUGAGCUGAAGCCAGACGUUCAACCAACUGAACCACCCAGGUGCCCCAAAAGUUAAUUAUUUUUGAAAAGUCCUGGCAGAUCUACCCUAAUAAAAUGCGUGUUGGAGCACAAAUGUCAGCACUAUCUGGUGUUCCCUUGAUGAAUAAUGGAAUGUGUGAUGAGACCCCAGGAGGGCAUAGUUGACUUUACACUGCCAAGAAAAGUGGAGUUUGACUCUCAGACCCAAGUCCAAUGCAAACAGGUAACUCUUCUUUUUAGGCUAUUAGGGCAUGAUGGGAAAUUGCCUCCCAUACCAUCAAAGCACAAUCAGCAGCGGUGUCUCAGUCAGAGGGCAGCACUGCUCUGCUUUCUCAGGCUGCUGGUUAUGGAGCUAACCUAUGCUCAGAAAUCUGUUUUCAAUUAUUUUAUGUUUCAAGAAAAACAAAGUGCCCUUCAUCCAAACCAAAGGGAAGUCGCAAGCCUGGGGCACAAAGCUGAAAAUGGCCAAUUGAAUUAACAUGCUUUUUGUACAUGUGAGUAGAAAAUAUCCUGACAGGUAGCUACAUAAAUAUAGGGGCCAUUUAAGAUAGUAUUUUAACAUGAUUAGGAAAAGCAAAGUACCCAUAAUGUGGGCAGGGGCCUGUGUGCAAAAGCACCUUUGAAUACCAACGACAUGUACAGCUUUGAAGAAAGGAAAUAAGCUUGCAUGGUGUUUGGACCAUAAAAACACUCAAUAAAUGGCUGCAGAACAAAUUAAUGUAUAAGAGAAUAUGAAAUAUGAACUGUGUAUAAUACUAUGGAACUCAUUUUAAAAAAAUGUUUUAUUUUAUUUAUUUUUAAGAGAGAGUGGGGGAGAGACAGAGAGAGGAGACACAGAAUCUGAAGCAGGCUCCAGGCUCUGAGCUGUCAGCCCAAAGGCCGACAUGUGGCUCGAACUUAUAGACCGCGAGAUCAUGACCUGAGCCGAAGUCGAACACUUAAUCAACUGACUGAACCACCCAGGCACCCUGGAACUCAUUUUUUUACAUUUGUGUGUAUAUGUAUUUCUUUUUUAAAACAAAAUAGUUUGUAUUGUAACAGUAAUGACUGUGUGUAGCAAAAAUUCACAUAGAAAGAUGCAAAGAUUUCUCCCCCUACCUGCCUCCAUUCCCAUCUCUCAUUCUCUAGGGUUGCUACAAAAAAAAAUUUUUUUAACAAACUACAUCAUAUGUUGUGUACUAUUUUGCAUACUUUUUUUCCACCUAGUAGGUUUUUUUUUAAUUUUUUAAUGUUUUUUUAAACUUAUUUUUGAGGCAGAGGGAGACAGAGCAUGAGAGGAGGGGCUGAGAGAGAGACAAAGACACAGAAUCUGAAGCAGGCUCCAGGCUCUGAGCUGUCAGCAUAGAGCCCAAAGUGGGGCUAGAACUCGUGAACCAUGAAAUCAUGACCUGAGCCGAAAUUGGAUGCUUAAUUGAGCCACCCAGGCGCCCCUCCACUUAAUAGAUCUUUCUACAUUUACCCACACUGCCACCCUUACUUGUAUAUCCCCAUUUCAUUCUUUUAAAUUUGAUGCUAAAUAUUAAGCAUGACUAAAUAGUAAUUAAUUUCCAGUUCCCAGCUGAUAGGCAUUAGGAUUGCUUCCAGUUAUUUUUUUUAAAUUAUUACAAAUAAUGAUGCAAUGAACAUCCCUGUGCAUAUAUUUUUGUGCAAUUAUUUCAGACUAUACGUGGAACAAAUUACUAGAAUUGAAAUAGAUGAGUCAAAGGAAUAUACAUUUUUAAAAUUCCAGCGGGUACUGCUACACUGUUAUUCCACCAUAGGUUUAUGAAAAUGAUUGCUUCUCCACAUCUUUUUCGAACUGGCCAGCAACAAACUUUGAUCUUAACUAAUUGGAUAAAUGAAAAAUACUAAUUCAUUAUUAUCUUUGAAUUUGAAUUUCUAUUAUAAUUAUUCAGGUUGAGCAUUUUAUAUUUAUUGACAAACUGUUUUACUUUUUCAGUGAAUUGCCCAGCAAUGAUAUUUUUAAAAGAUAUCAGAUCACAAUCUGUGCUAUAUGUGUGAUAAGAUGCUAUUAAGUGAGGGAAAAAUCACCUUCAAAGUCAAGGUGGACCUACUCCCCUCUUUCCUUUGUACAAAUAUUGUGCAUUAUUAAAGCCAGUUGUAGGGAGCUAUCUCUGAAAGCUACCAAGAAGUAGAAGUAGAAGGUUUCUCCACAGCCAACUACAAUGGACUAUGGAAAAAAGAACCUUAUACUCACCGGAUAUAUCUUUGGUCUUUAUCAUCCCAAAAAGAUGAAAUUCCUGAAAUAACAUUGUACAUUCAAUGUGGUGCAUGUUUUUUAUUUUGUUUGUUUAUUAACUUUUAGUUAUUGAGUGUUUAUCGUGCACAAAACCAUCAGUAUAGGUUCGAGAAAGGCAAGUAACAAAUAAGACAAUAAUCAGGCAUAAGCCUUCCUCUUAAGGCAUUUAUAGUGUUUUUGAGAACAAAGAGGGAAGGAAAAUAAAUACAGUAAUAGGUUAGGGAUGUUACUUGAGUACUAAGGACUUUGAACUUCACCUGGGACAACAGGAAAUGAGUACUGUUAAGUGACAAGAUUCAAACUACUUUUUAAUCAAAUUUAAGCAAACUAUUCUGAAAGCAAUGAGAUUGAAGAGAGGAGAGGAAACAGAGGCAGAGAAACUAAUUAGGAGGCUAUACCUUUUACAAGUGACAGAUGAUAAAGAUCAAGACCACCACAGUGGCCGUGGGAAUGGCAAGGGGGGAACUACAAGUGGGGAUGCCAAGGGGAGCAAAAUUCUCAGAAGCAGAGUCAGGAUGGGGUAGAAUCAUCAAAACCAAAGAAGGAUGAGUCCCAAGAAGGAGGGGUCAUCAAGAAUGUAGAAUGCUCCUGUCUAUGGCCAUACCACUCAUUCAGAGCCCCAUCUCCUCUGAUCUCAGGAGCUAAGCAGCAUCGGGCCUGGUUAGUACUUGGAUGGAAGAAUGUAAAAUGUUUCAGACUAACGGAGUCCUCACCAUAGCCCAUCUUUAUUAAUCCCAGUGGAAAUGAGAACAUACCAUUAUUAUCUUCAUCUAAUUAGUAAAUACUUAUUGGACUUCUGCUAUAUCAGACACAGUACUGUGUGCUAAAUAAAUGAUAAAAUGGUACAUAACUGAUAAAAUGGUGAGCAAACUCAAUAAGGUCCUUACUUUCGUGUAGCUUAAAACUUACCCAGAGAGAGCAUUAAACCAAAAGCAAUCACAAUUCCUCCAUUUUGCUCUGGGGGAGCCACUUCUCUGCCAUUGUUACAUCCUUUGCUUUGGGUAAAACUAACUCUUCCCCAGUUCGAAAAUGGUGUAUUUGAUCUAAGACCAGACCCAUGGGUGGGUAUACCUUUUUCUCUGGUCACAGUGAUCCAUGGUGGUCAAUCCUAGCUGCUGAGAUUUCACUCCAGGUGUUUUAUUUCAGCUCUCAGAGAAGCAGACUGUCUGCCCUACAUGAUGGAACCUGGAAGUGUGAGCUCCUGGAGCUGUGGCAGCCAGCUUGCAACCAUGAGGUCAACCUUGUCUGUGAUUUGAACAAUAAUUACAAUAAUUUUCUACAACAAGCAGAAGGCAGAGCCAAGAGUCACAGAGAAAAACCAUGUCCUGAUGAUAUCAUUUGAGUCUGGUCAAGCUCUGACCGAAGCUAGAUUUAUUCCUGAACUUCUGGGUUAGGUGAGGCAAUAAAUUCUAUUUUGGUACAAACCAGUUUGGUUUGGAUUUUCAUUCACUUGUAAUCAAAAGAAGUGUAACCAUUACAACUCAGCUCUUUAAAAAUGUCCUGUUCUUUUUUUCUCCAGACGGCAAAAAAUUUUGAAAUUACUUUUCUCUGAACACUUUAUUGCAA
rnacentral:lncRNA from 1 species